AGUGAAGGAGGAGGAGGAGGAGGACGAGAAUGAUGAAGAAGAAGAGGACGGCAAAGUGAAAAGCAGCGGUGAUAAGGAGUAUGAUGACGAAGGCGAUCUCAUCGUUUGCCGAUUGUCGCAAAAGAGAAGAGUGACUGUUACUGACUUUAGGGGAAAAACUCUGGUGUCGAUAAGAGAGUACUACAGCAAAGAGGGCAAGGAGUUGCCUACUUCUAAAGGGAUAAGUUUGACAGCUGAGCAAUGGGCAACUUUCAAGAAGAAUAUUCCUGGAGUUGAACAAGCCAUCAAGAAAAUGGAGUCGAAGGCUUAGUUUAGUUCUUGAUUUCGGUUACAUGCAGUAAACUAUAUUUGAAGACUUAAAACACUAGGAGACAUGUUUUUUUGGGUAAAUUGGUUUAACUUUUGGUUAACAUGCAGUAUUAUGCCUGCUCUCUUGGCUAAUACAGAUUUUCUCUAAUUUGAGGCAUUUGGU
rnacentral:misc_RNA from 1 species